UACAGGGGGGGCAAGCGUUGUUCGGAAUUACUGGGCGUAAAGGGUUCGUAGGUGGCUUACUAAGUCAGAUGUGAAAUCCCUCAGCUUAACUGGGGAACUGCGUCUGAUACUGGAAAGCUUGAGUGCAGGAGAGGAACGCGGAAUUCCAGGUGUAGCGGUGAAAUGCGUAGAUAUCAGGAGGAACACCGGUGGCGAAGGCGGCUCGCUGGGACGGUACUGACGCUGAGGCGCGAAAGCGUGGGGAGCAAACAGG
rnacentral:rRNA from 1 species